rnacentral:rRNA from 1 species
UACGGGGGGAGCAAGCGUUGUUCGGAUUUACUGGGCGUAAAGGGCGCGUAGGCGGCCACCGCAAGUCGGUUGUGAAAUCUCUGGGCUUAACCCAGAAAGGUCAACCGAUACUGCGGGGCUAGAGUGCAGAAGGGGCAACUGGAAUUCUCGGUGUAGCGGUGAAAUGCGUAGAUAUCGAGAGGAACACCUGCGGCGAAGGCGGGUUGCUGGGCUGAUACUGACGCUGAGGCGCGAAAGCUAGGGGAGCGAACGGG